CCACAUUCAAGAUAGGGUAUAAUAUAUUGGGACCUUCAGGUCCCUGUGCCCCUGACUGUCCGGGCACGUAUCUCCAAGAGUAGGCCUUAGGCCAAGGGACCCAGGGAUGUGAAUUCAAGAACCGAAGUCAAGGUAUCCCUAUAGAGGAAUACCUCCCUACUUAGCCUGGAGUCCCACAAACUCAUAGCAUUCUCAAACAUGCAGGCGAGAUGUAAAGUCCCUUCACUCACGAC